AAUGAAGCCGCGGACCCUCGCAAAGGACUUUGGACAACAAUUUCUUUGACUGAAACUGGGGUCAGAGUUGCAGACUCCCUGGAACAUGAAAAGUCAAUAAUCUAGUUCCCAAAAGGUAGACAAGAAACUAUUCCCAAGAUGAACAAACGAUGAGAAUAGAGGUAAGGUGAAAAUGAUGCUUUGAUGCCUGAAGGUACAACAAACAUCUCAUGACUAUGAAGGGAUGAAAAUGGAUACCAAGGAUACCAAGAUGAUGGAACAAAAAGAAUUGAUUUGGAACAUGACGGCACUAUGGAUUCAUUGUAUUGGACCUCUGUGAUAUAAUUCCGAACUUUUCAUAUAAGACUAAUAUACCCCUACUUGUUUAAGACAACUGUAGAGUUUUCUGCUACUUGCAGCCAAAUGUAAUCCUAACUAAUAUAGGCAAGAAAUCAUGUUUUUAUAUCACU
rnacentral:sRNA from 1 species